UACGAAGGGGGCUAGCGUUGCUCGGAAUUACUGGGCGUAAAGCGUGCGCAGGCGGUUUUGUAAGUCAGAUGUGAAAUCCCCGGGCUUAACCUGGGAACUGCGUUUGAAACUACAAGGCUAGAGUGUGGCAGAGGGGGGGUGGAAUUCCACGUGUAGCAGUGAAAUGCGUAGAGAUGUGGAGGAACACCGAUGGCGAAGGCAGCCCCCUGGGUUAACACUGACGCUCAGGCACGAAAGCGUGGGGAGCAAACAGG
rnacentral:rRNA from 1 species